rnacentral:rRNA from 1 species
UUGGAGGGCAAGUCUGGUGCCAGCAGCCGCGGUAAUUCCAGCUCCAAUAGCGUAUAUUAAAGUUGUUGUGGUUAAAAAGACUCGUAGUUGAACCUUGGGCCUGGCUGGCCGGUCCGCCUCACCGCGUGUACUGGUCCGGCCGGGUCUUUCCCUCUGUGGAACCCCAUGCCCUUCACUGGGUGUGGCGGGGAAACAGGACUUUUACUUUGAAAAAAUUAGAGUGCUCCAGGCAGGCCUAUGCUCGAAUACAUUAGCAUGAAACAAUGAAAUAGGACGUGCGG